AAAACCCCAAAAUAAAGAACACCGGAAGUAAGGAGAAAUAUGAGACGAAAGAAUGUGGAGUAUGAAGUAUAUAAUGAAAGAAACAAAAGGCCUCGUACAAUAAAUAGACUAUUGAAGAAGCGCAUCGCGGAAAUGCUUUUUUGUGUUAUUCUUAAUACCCAUCUUGUUAGCAAAUUCCUCUCUUCUUCUUUGGUCUUGGAAUGAUUUGAUAUGAGAGGCACUAUAAUUCUUACGGCCAUCGCGAACACCAGCUAUACUUGUUUCAACAGCUUGUCUAUAAGCUCGGGCAUUACCACUCAUCGCACGUCUGGCGACGUUCUGAUGAAUAGAAGCACCAUCUCCUACAGCGGUAGAACUAGAGUGAAGAUUUUGGCGGAAGUAGCGAGAUAACGAACGAUGGCCCACACGAUUACCAGAGGGUAAAUG